GCCUCGGUGGAGUCGCUGUUGGACUCACAAUCCAAAGGUCGUCAGUUCGAAUCCCGGGGUG
rnacentral:tRNA from 1 species